rnacentral:lncRNA from 13 species
ACUGCAGGGGAGUUCCCCACUUUGUGGACAGGGAAGAGAGGUUUCCCUAAGGAGGUCAGGAUCGGAUAUGAGUCACGGGGCAGCCAUUUUGGAAGGAAGACAUUUGUCAACCAGGAAGCUGUAAUUCAAAAUGUGGACUUAAGCAAGAGGAAACACCCAGCUCUCCCUUGGAUCCAGGUUUCAAGAAGCACUCACCAGAUAACUGCAUGUAUCAGAUUGCAGGUAAAUUGCAGUCUAUAAGACUCAGAGAAGAACAUGUUUUAUGAGCAAAAUAAUGUAGUUAUAUGUUGUCACGUGCUUGUUGAAAUUUUUCUUAGUCUUGAGCAGAGUCUAUAAAAAUACUUUAGUCUUAUUAUAACUGUGCUAUUAUGUCUUCUAGAACAUAAAAUGAAUAGUAUAAUUCUUCUUUCCUUUAAGCCACUGAGAAACAGCAACAUUUAGAGAUCUCUACAGCAUAGAUGAAUUUGGGAUGAAGCCUCUCUUUUGUAGAGAUUCGCUCACCAUCACCAACAUUAAAAGAUGAGGCUUUCUUUUGUUAAGCACUGGAGGGAUUCUGAAGUCCUAAAGCAGCUGACAGAGGUGAAGGUCAUCAGAUACAGAAGACAUCCUGAGGCCAGCUCCCAUCCACUGACUGCCCUCUGCAGCCUGGAUUCCUGCCUCAGCUUAUACCUGCGGAAGGUAGGACAACCGUUACAAAGGAGAGAUGUGCUUAUAUGAAGAGAAAGGUCAUCUCCCACAAGAGUACACAGAGCAAAGAGAAAAGGCGGAGAUGGAAAUGACCGGCACAUUUUAGGACUCCCCCAGACCUCAUCAGUGAAGAAACUGCUCUGCUAUUUCAGAUGGAACACCUGAAGAAAGACCGCCAGCUCCUUCUCUCCCCAGGACUCCAGGAGACAGAAACUUAAUAGCAGGAGACCAGGUAAUAAACACUGGUGCAGUUACA